rnacentral:rRNA from 1 species
CAGUCGCCACGGUAAUACGAAGGGGGCUAGCGUUGUUCGGAUUUACUGGGCGUAAAGCGCACGUAGGCGGAUUGGUAAGUUAGGGGUGAAAUCCUGGAGCUCAACUCCAGAACUGCCUUUAAUACUGCCAGUCUCGAGUCCGGAAGAGGUAAGUGGAACUCCUAGUGUAGAGGUGGAAUUCGUAGAUAUUAGGAAGAACACCAGUGGCGAAGGCGGCUUACUGGUCCGGUACUGACGCUGAGGUGCGAAAGCGUGGGGAGCAAACAGGAUUAGAUACCCCAGUAGUCCCUGUCUCUUAUAC